AAGUUAUCUUAACUUUUAUAGAUCCAGAUGGAAAUGAAACUUCCACAGUAGGAAAAAAUCUAUACCCUGGAAUUAACACUUUUCUUGAUUUCCAAAUGCAACCUUCUCCUAAAUAUGGUUUAUGGACAAUUAAAGCUAAAUACAAAGAAGACUUCACAACAACUGGAACUGCACAGUUUGAGCUGAAAAUCCCUGAUACAUAUUCAUCGAGUCCCGCAUUCACUAUAUUAAUAGAACCAGAAGACGACUUUAUCAGCCAUAAAAAUUUGGAGGACUUCAAGAUUACUGUAAGAGCUGGAUAUUAUCUUAAUGAAAAUAUUCCUGAAGCUAAUGUGCUUGUGUCUUUUGGAAUAAGAGAAAAUUUAGAUGAUCAUGGAGAAGCUAUGAUGCUUGCCAAAACAC